AUUGAACGCUGGCGGCAGGCCUAACACAUGCAAGUCGAGCGAGCGGCGGACGGGUGAGUAAUGUAUGGGGACUUCCCGAUAGAGGGGGAUAAACACUGGAAAAGCUAGCUAAUACCGCAUACACUCGGAUAAACCAAAUGGGCUUAGCUAGUAGGUGUGGUAAUGGCUCACCUAGGCGACACUCCCUAGCUGGUCUGAGAGGAUGAUCAGCCACACUGGGACGGAGACACGGCCCAGACUCCUACGGAGGCAGCAGUUGGGAAUAUUGCACAAUGGGCGCAAGCCUGAUGCAGCCAUGCCGCGUGUAUGAAGAAGGCCCUAGGGUGGUAAAGUUCUUUCAUUCGGGAGGCGUUACCGACAGAAGAAGCACCGGCUAACUCCGUGCCAGCAGCCGCGGUAAUAC
rnacentral:rRNA from 1 species